UACAGGGGGGGCAAGCGUUGUUCGGAAUUACUGGGCGUAAAGGGUUCGUAGGUGGCCAACUAAGUCAGACGUGAAAUCCCUCAGCUUAACUGGGGAACUGCGUCUGAUACUGGAUGGCUUGAGUGCAGGAGAGGAACGCGGAAUUCCAGGUGUAGCAGUGAAAUGCGUAGAGAUCAUGAGGAAGACCAGUGGCGAAGGCGGGUCUCUGGACAGUUCCUGACACUGAGGCACGAAGGCCAGGGGAGCAAACGGG
rnacentral:rRNA from 1 species